AACGAACGCUGGCGGCAUGCCUAACACAUGCAAGUCGAACGAGACCUUCGGGUCUAGUGGCUCACGGGUGCGUAACGCGUUGGAACCUGCCCUUAGGUUCGGAAUAACUCCCCGAAAUGGGUGCUAAUACCGGAUAAUGUCUUCGGACCAAAGAUUUAUCGCCUUUGGAUGGGCCCGCGUUGGAUUAGCUAGUUGGUAGGGUAAAAGCCUACCAAGGCGACGAUCCAUAGCUGGUCUGAGAGGAUGAUCAGCCACACUGGGACUGAGACACGGCCCAGACUCCUACGGGAGGCAGCAGUGGGGAAUAUUGGACAAUGGGCGAAAGCCUGAGACAGCAAUGCCGGGUGAGUGAUGAAGGCCUUAGGGUUGUAAAGCUCUUUUACCCGGGAUGAUAAUGACAGUACCGGGAGAAUAAGCUCCGGCUAACUACGUG
rnacentral:rRNA from 1 species